UACGUAGGGUGCAAGCGUUAAUCGGAAUUACUGGGCGUAAAGCGUGCGCAGGCGGUGCUCUAAGUUUGGUGUGAAAUCUCCCGGCUCAACUGGGAGGGUGCGCCGAAAACUGGAAUGCUUGAACAUGGGAGAGGAAAGCGGAAUUCCUGGUGUAGCGGUGAAAUGCGUAGAUAUCAGGAGGAACACCUGCGGUGUAGACGGCUUUCUGGACCAUUGUUGACGCUGAGACGCGAAAGCGUGGGGAGCGAACAGG
rnacentral:rRNA from 1 species